rnacentral:lncRNA from 1 species
UCUCUAAUAGAGACAUCAGCAGUCUGAACUUCCACACGUAUCAUGUUCACGGCACCAGAGAGAAAAUUUCGCAUUUUCACCUGAAUAUCACCAAGAUGUUCUGGCAAGAAGCAACCGGACCAUUGCCAUCCGGGUUCAGCAAAUUUAAUAGAGACUAGCAACUCCCUGAAAAAUAUUGACACAUAAUAAAUAACAAGAACAAGGAGCAGAAGCAAAGAAAAAAUAGGAAGAAAAUCACAGCUGACCAUUGCCAUCCAGGUUCAGCAAAUUUAAUAGAGACUAGCAACUCCCUGAAAAAUAUUGACACAUAAUAAAUAACAAGAAUAAGGAGCAGAAGCAAGGAAAAAAUAGGCAGAAAAUCACAGCUCUGCUUCUCAUUCGUCCAACACGUAUUGCCUCCCAGACUUAUCUAAACACUUGCAUCAUCAGAAUUGUUUAUCAAAUGACAUCUUACCAAU